rnacentral:rRNA from 1 species
CAGCCGCCGCGGUAACACAGAGGACGCAAGCGUUAUCCGGAAUGAUUGGGCGUAAAGCGUCUGUAGGUGGCUUUUCAAGUCCGCCGUCAAAUCCCAGGGCUCAACCCAUCGUCUGCACAGGAAACUGUAGGGCUUGAGGAUGGGAGAGGCGAGUGGAAUUUCCGGUGUAGCGGUGAAAUGCGUAGAUAUCGGAAGGAACACCUGUGGCGAAAGCGGCUCACUGGACCAUUACUGACGCUGAUGCACGAAAGCUAGGGGAGCAAACAGGAUUAGAUACCCCCGUAGUCCCUGUCUCUUAUAA